AGAAACGAAGAAGGGCGCACGGUGGAUGCCUAGGCGUCUGAUGCCGAAGAAGGUCGCGGCACACUGCGAAAAGCCUCGGGGAGUUGUGUGCGGACGAGGAACCGGGGGUAACCGAAUGGGGAAACCCACCCAGGGGGAGCCUGGGUAUCGUCGCGAGAGCGGCGGGGGUAAGUCAGGGAACUGAAACAUCUUAGUACCUGGAGGAGAAGAGAAUAUUCUCUGAGUAGUGGCGAGCGAAAGGGGAAGAGUCCAAACUAGCGUUGUGGAAGAGUCUGCGGACGUUGCAAGGCUAGGGUUGAGGGAGGUGACAGGGUCGGGCCGCAGCCUGGCCGACAGGAGAAGCGAGAACUAGUCGAAGCGUACUGGAAAGGCGCGUCGGAGAGGGUGAGAACCCCGUAGACGAAAGGGAGCGCAACCUGGUGACCGACCCAGAGUACCACAGGGCACGCUAAUCCGGUGGGAAGCAGGGCAGACCACUGUCCAAGACUAAAUACAUCAGACGAGCGAUAGGGAACAAGUACCGUGAGGGAAAGGUGAAAAGAACCCCGGUGAGGGGAGUGAAAGAGAACCUGAAACCGUGUGCUUACAAGCGGUCGGAGGGCCAUGGUGUACGGAGUACACCGGCCUGACGGCGUGCCUUUUGGAGAAUGAGCCAGCGAGUUGCUCUUUGUGGCGCGGUUAAGGCAGUAACAGCCGGAGCCAAAGGGAAACCGAGUCUGAAGAGGGCGGAGGAUCACGGGAGUGAUCGACGUGGCAAGGAGCAGACACGAAACCAAGUGAGCUACCCAUGUCCAGGCUGAAGCGGAGCUAAACCUCAGUGGAGGGCCGAACCUUUCUCUGUUACAAAAGGGUGGGAAGAGGUGUGGGUAGAGGUGAUAUGCCAAACGAACUUGGAGAUAGCUUGUUCUCCCCGAAAUAGCUUUAGGGCUAGCCUCACGCGUUAAGUGUAGGAGGUAGAGCACUGGAUGGGGUAGGGGGCGUUAGCUUACCGCACCCAACCAAACUCCGAAUGCCAACACUGAGGAGCGUGGGAGUCGGACUAUGAAUGAUGAGAUGCAUAGUCGAGAGGGAAAGAACCCAGACCGUCGGCUAAGGUCCCGAAAUGCAAACUAAGUGGGAAACGAGGUGGGGGAGCGAAGACAGCCAGGAGGUUGGCUUAGAAGCAGCCAUCCUUUAAAGAGUGCGUAAUAGCUCACUGGUCAAGCGCUCUCGCGCGGAAAAUAUAACGGGGCUAAAGUUUGCUACCGAAGCCACGGGGGUAG
rnacentral:rRNA from 1 species